GACGAACGCUGGCGGCGUGCUUAACACAUGCAAGUCGAACGGAAAGGCCCUGCUUGCAGGGUACUCGAGUGGCGAACGGGUGAGUAACACGUGGGUGAUCUGCCCUGCACUUCGGGAUAAGCUUGGGAAACUGGGUCUAAUACCGGAUAGGACCGCACCUUAGUGUGUGUGGUGGAAAGUUUUUUCGGUGUAGGAUGAGCUCGCGGCCUAUCAGCUUGUUGGUGGGGUAAUGGCCUACCAAGGCGGCGACGGGUAGCCGGCCUGAGAGGGUGUACGGCCACAUUGGGGCUGGGGUACGGCCCAGACUCCUACGGGAGGCAGCAGUGGGGAAUAUUGCACAAGGGGCGCAAGCCUGAUGCAGCGACGCCGCGGGGGGGAUGAAGGGCUUCGGGUUGGAAACUCCUUUCGCUAGGGACGAAGCUUUUUGUGACGGUACCUAGAUAAGAAGCACCGGCUAACUACGUG
rnacentral:rRNA from 1 species